GGGUUGUGAGGUUAAGCGACUAAGCGUACACGGUGGAUGCCUAGGCAGUCAGAGGCGAUGAAGGGCGUGCUAAUCUGCGAUAAGCGUCGGUAAGCUGAUAUGAAGCGUUAUACCCGACGAUACCCGAAUGGGGAAACCCAGUGUGUUUCGACACACUAUCAUUACGUGAAUACAUAGCGUAAUGAGGCGAACCGGGGGAACUGAAACAUCUCAGUACCCCGAGGAAAAGAAAUCAACCGAGAUUCCCCUAGUAGCGGCGAGCGAACGGGGAGGAGCCCAGAACCUGAAUCAGUUUGUGUGUUAGUGGAAGCGUCUGGAAAGUCGCACAGUAAAGGGUGAUAGUCCCGUACACAAAAAUGCACAAGUUGUGAGUUCGAUGAGUAGGGCGGGACACGUGACAUCCUGUCUGAAUAUGGGGGGACCAUCCUCCAAGGCUAAAUACUCCUGACUGACCGAUAGUGAACCAGUACCGUGAGGGAAAGGCGAAAAGAACCCCGGCGAGGGGAGUGAAAUAGAACCUGAAACCGUGUACGUACAAGCAGUGGGAGCCUACUUGUUAGGUGACUGCGUACCUUUUGUAUAAUGGGUCAGCGACUUAUAUUCUGUAGCAAGGUUAACCGUAUAGGGGAGCCGCAGGGAAACCGAGUCUUAACUGGGCGUUAAGUUGCAGGGUAUAGACCCGAAACCCGGUGAUCUAGCCAUGGGCAGGUUGAAGGUUGGGUAACACUAACUGGAGGACCGAACCGACUAAUGUUGAAAAAUUAGCGGAUGACUUGUGGCUGGGGGUGAAAGGCCAAUCAAACCGGGAGAUAGCUGGUUCUCCCCGAAAGCUAUUUAGGUAGCGCCUCGUGAAUUCAUCUUCGGGGGUAGAGCACUGUUUCGGCUAGGGGGUCAUCCCGACUUACCAACCCGAUGCAAACUACGAAUACCGAAGAAUGUUAUCACGGGAGACACACGGCGGGUGCUAACGUUCGUCGUGAAGAGGGAAACAACCCAGACCGCCAGCUAAGGUCCCAAAGUCAUGGUUAAGUGGGAAACGAUGUGGGAAGGCACAGACAGCCAGGAUGUUGGCUUAGAAGCAGCCAUCAUUUAAAGAAAGCGUAAUAGCUCACUGGUCGAGUCGGCCUGCGCGGAAGAUGUAACGGGGCUAAACCAUGCACCGAAGCUGCGGCAGCGACACUUAGGUGUUGUUGGGUAGGGGAGCGUUCUGUAAGCCGUUGAAGGUGGCCUGUGAGGGUUGCUGGAGGUAUCAGAAGUGCGAAUGCUGACAUAAGUAACGAUAAUGCGGGUGAAAAACCCGCACGCCGGAAGACCAAGGGUUCCUGUCCAACGUUAAUCGGGGCAGGGUGAGUCGACCCCUAAGGCGAGGCUGAAAAGCGUAGUCGAUGGGAAACAGGUUAAUAUUCCUGUACUCGGUGUUACUGCGAAGGGGGGACGGAGAAAGCUAGGUUAUCCGGGCGACGGUUGUCCCGGUUUAAGCGUGAAGGUGGGUGACUUAGGUAAAUCCGGGUCAUCGUUAACACUGAGGCGUGAUGACGAGUCACUACGGUGAUGAAGUAACCAAUGCUACGCUUCCAGGAAAAGCCUCUAAGCUCCAGGUAACAUCAAAUCGUACCCCAAACCGACACAGGUGGUCAGGUAGAGAAUACUCAGGCGCUUGAGAGAACUCGGGUGAAGGAACUAGGCAAAAUGGUGCCGUAACUUCGGGAGAAGGCACGCUGGCGCGUAGGUGAAGUCCCUUGCGGAUGGAGCUGAAGCCAGUCGCAGAUACCAGCUGGCUGCAACUGUUUAAUAAAAACACAGCACUGUGCAAACACGAAAGUGGACGUAUACGGUGUGACGCCUGCCCGGUGCCGGAAGGUUAAUUGAUGGGGUCAGCCGCAAGGCGAAGCUCUUGAUCGAAGCCCCGGUAAACGGCGGCCGUAACUAUAACGGUCCUAAGGUAGCGAAAUU
rnacentral:rRNA from 1 species